UCUGCUCCCUGGGGAGGGACAUGUGAAGGUUUAAAGCAGGGCGGGGCAAACUUUUUGGCCCAAGGGCCACAUCGCGGUUGCGAAACUGUAUGGAGGGCCAGGUAGGGAAGGCUGUGCCUCCCGAAACAGCCUGGCCCUCA